rnacentral:rRNA from 1 species
UACGUAGGGUGCAAGCGUUGUCCGGAAUUAUUGGGCGUAAAGAGCUCGUAGGCGGUCUGUCGCGUCUGCUGUGAAAACUCAGGGCUUAACCCUGAGCUUGCAGUGGGUACGGGCAGACUAGAGUGCGGUAGGGGAGACUGGAAUUCCUGGUGUAGCGGUGAAAUGCGCAGAUAUCAGGAGGAACACCGAUGGCGAAGGCAGGUCUCUGGGACGGUACUGACGCUGAGACGCGAAAGCGUGGGGAGCGAACAGG